AAGUCGUAACAAGGUUUCCGUAGGUGAACCUGCGGAAGGAUCAUUAAUGAAAUAUUAUUAUUAUAUUUCCCAUGUUAAAAUGUUUAUUACAACGAUAAAUUAAAUAUUUACAUGUAAACAAACCACAACUUUUAACGGUGGAUCUCUUGGUUCCU
rnacentral:misc_RNA from 1 species